rnacentral:rRNA from 1 species
GCCUACGGGACGCAGCAGUGGGGAAUAUUGGGCAAUGGGGGAAACCCUGACCCAGCGACGCCGCGUGAGGGAAGAAGGUUUUCGGAUUGUAAACCUCUGUCCUUGGUGACGAUAAUGACGGUAGCCAAGGAGGAAGCCACGGCUAACUACGUGCCAGCAGCCGCGGUAAUACGUAGGUGGCAAGCGUUAUCCGGAUUUACUGGGUGUAAAGGGCGUGUAGGCGGGACUGCAAGUCCGAUGUGAAAAUUAUGGGCUCAACCCAUAACCUGCAUUUGAAACUGUAGUUCUUGAGUGAUGGAGAGGCG